rnacentral:sRNA from 1 species
UAGUAAUUUAUCAAAUAUAAAAGCACAUCU